rnacentral:ncRNA from 1 species
CUCGUGCCAGCCACCGCGGUCAUACGAUUAACCCAAAUUAACAGAAACACGGCGUAAAGGGUGUUUAAGCACGCAACCAAACAAAUAAAGCUAAAAUUCAAUUAUGCUGUAAUACGCCCUAGUUGAUACUAAAAUACACAACUUACGUGACUUUACUAAAGCUGAAGACACUAAAGCUAAGGUACAAACUGGGAUUAGAGACCCCACUAUGCUUAGCCGUAAACCUAGGUAAUUAAAUAACAAAAUUACUCGCCAGAGAACUACUAGCAACCGCUUAAAACUCAAAGGACUUGGCGGUGCCCUAGACCCUCCUAGAGGAGCCUGUUCUAUAAUCGAUAAACCCCGAUAUACCUCACCCCUUCUCGCUCAACAGUCUAUAUACCGCCAUCGUCAGCUCACCCCAAUAGGGGCCCAAAGUGAGCAAAAUCAUCAAAUCAUAAAAACGUUAGGUCAAGGUGUAACAUAUGAAGGGGGAAGUAAUGGGCUACAUUUUCUAUACUAGAGCAUAACGAAUUGUCAAACUGAAAUAAAGACAUGAAGGAGGAUUUAGUAGUAAAUUAAGAAUAGAGAGCUUAAUUGAAAUAGGCAAUAGGGUGCGUACACACCGCCCGUCACCCUCCUCAAUAAAGUAACUUUUAAUACCUAAUUACAAUACACCAAAAAGAGGAGAAAAGUCGUAACAUGGUAAGUGUACUGGAAAGUGUACUUGGACAACCAAAAUG